rnacentral:rRNA from 3 species
UAGGGAAUCUUCGGCAAUGGACGAAAGUCUGACCGAGCAACGCCGCGUGAGUGAAGAAGGUUUUCGGAUCGUAAAACUCUGUUGUUAGAGAAGAACAAGGACGUUAGUAACUGAACGUCCCCUGACGGUAUCUAACCAGAAAGCCACGGCUAACUACGUGCCAGCAGCCGCGGUAAUACGUAGGUGGCAAGCGUUGUCCGGAUUUAUUGGGCGUAAAGCGAGCGCAGGCGGUUUCUUAAGUCUGAUGUGAAAGCCCCCGGCUCAACCGGGGAGGGUCAUUGGAAACUGGGAGACUUGAGUGCAGAAGAGGAGAGUGGAAUUCCAUGUGUAGCGGUGAAAUGCGUAGAUAUAUGGAGGAACACCAGUGGCGAAGGCGGCUCUCUGGUCUGUAACUGACGCUGAGGCGCGAAAGCGUGGGGAGCAAACAGG